UGAAGUGGACGAAAAGAAGCGGAGGAGGAAGGUUCCUGUAUUUCAACCUCUGCGAAUAUUUUUUAAAAAAUAUCUAAAAAAUCUACGUAGAUCUUAUAAAAUUGUGAAAAAAUAACAAAAAAUUAGUGCACACCAUCACGAUUGAGCGGAUGUGCGGGUCAUCUUCGAUGGUCUUCGUCGGGUAUCUUUAUACAGCGUUUUUGAGCGGGAGUAACGUUACAGCUGGAGCUCCACUCGGCUGCUUCUUGUACAAGUCUGACAGCGGUGCAGCAUAGACGGGUUUACAGCUUGUCUUUCUGCGUCUUUAGACUUUCUAGCUGAGUUGUCUGUUUGAAAUUAUUGCGGCGUUGUGGUAUCACGUAUGUUUGCUGUGUAAGUCGAGUAUUUAGCGUUCGUUCGACAAUUUGGCGUGUUCUGAGAUUUGCGCCAUUUUAGCUCCGUUUAGUUGCGUCUUCAGGAAUGGGCUAGUUGUCGUUAGCCAGCUGCUGUUAGCAUUAUGUAAAGUUCCCAAGCUAACCAGCUAGCCAUCUGUACUCGCUGUAUUUAGUUUUAGAAAUAACGGCCAUUACUUUAGUGACAGUUCGUUUUUAAAUGGCUGAAACCUGUAUCUUCUGAAGAAAAGAAAAUCACAAAAUAAGCUGUGCGUCAUUUUCAGAAAAGUGCUAACACUAGAGGUGAGGGGGCCGUUCAGAAGUGGGUGGAUGCUGCUGAGGGAAAUCCAGAAGUGAAAGUUUCUCUGCGAUUUCCGGAGCAGAACGUCAACUUGGGAUUGCCUUUCAUCCUGCCACAGGAGAGAGGAACUGAGCUUGGCUUUCAAGCAGCAAGUGAUCUAGGUAAGAUCAGGAAUUUGGCAGUUGCAUAUUAGCCCACGUGUUUUGCUUAGUUUAAUUUCUGUAUGUGUGUAAUGGUGGGGAUUACUCAGUAUAGUAGUGUUAUUACUACAGUAUUACUGUAGUUCAAACAGAAUAAUUAAAUCAAUAUUUAAUUCUAAAGCGAUGGAGUGACAUUUUGUACGGCGUACUGAUACUAAUGGUUCGACAGUAAUUGGUAUACAAUGCAGUGAUAUCAUAUAGUCUUAAGUCCCUUACAUUUCUGACUAAUUACUGUAUCUUUGGGGGAAAACAAAAACCUAAGGUGGGUGGAUACAAGUCAAAUUAUUAAGCUCCAAAUGAAUAAUACACACAGAUUAUUUUCGGUGUCUUACCACAUGAAAAAGAAAAAUGUUUAAAGUAACAUAGAAUUUAGGAGUAUAAACAUUUCUCUCUUCACUGCAUAUUGCACUUCGGAACACUUAAAAUGAACACACACUUGUCACAUGUAAGCAUAUAACAGAGCAGCAAAUUGGUCAUCGAAAGACACCUCUCCCAUGUUUUGCUCACCUCACUGUGUGAUUUGUGUGAUUUUAAGAUAUUUGGUUUUGCGCCUGCAGUAAAUGUCUUGACAGAUGAGACGACUGGAAAUCCACUGUCACCUUUUAAGGUCUCUGCAAUGAAUGUUAAGCAUUAAUAUGCAUCGUUUUUGUAAUGAUGAUAACACAACUAUAAUUGUCAGCCAGUGUCUUGUUUAGUUUUUGGAUGGGCAAAUACUUAAAAAAAAAAAAAAAAAAAAAAAUUCUCAACAUUACUUUUGGCUGUACAUUUAUUUACUACCAAGUCACUCUGCCUGCCUGCCUUUCAACCUGAGACUCAUCUGCAGCUGUUUAUACAGAGUUGUGGAACCUGUUUGUGUUUGACCUGCCUGAAGCUAAUUUCAGACAGCACAACUCCAUGAAAGUUUUCGUUAUUUGUCGUAGUGAAUGUAAUGCUAGAGAAAUUCCCAGUAGUUUGUAGAGGCACCGACCUCCUGCACCUUUGAUUUGUCACAGUUAGACCUCGUGCUUGAAGAAGCUGCAACGAGUGCAAGAAAAUAAUACCUUCUUUUUUCGCUCAACUGAACUGAACCCUUUGACACCAAGCUCUGCUAAUUAAUUAAUGGUAUGUGGAAGAUACUAACUUGCUGCUUAAUAAAGCAAUAUGAGUUGAUAGAGAUCUGAUGGGUGGAAGCAGGGAAUAGUCAUUCUUCUACCUCUGUCAUUUUCUGGUAGUUUGAAUAAACUAAUAGAAGAAUAGUGAGAAGAUGUGAUCUACGUUAUUGUCUGUUAAUGCCUGUGCUGCAAAUUUGUGCUCAUUGAAUGUUGAUCUUUCAAAAGUAGGAGCGACUAUAACUGACCAUUCUGAACCUGUGGUGACAAACUUCGCACCAACAGACUUUGCAUGUAGCACGUGUGACUUGGCUAGUCUUGUCUUUCAGUUCGGAGUGGGGCGAUGCUGUUUCUCAGAAGCUUCAUAGAAGCCGAGAUCCAGUGUCUAGACUGUCUAGAACACCGAGUCAGUUUGCUGGUGUGAGGCGCUCUGCUUCUGGUCAUGUUGACCCGCAGUGUGUGAACAGCCAGUCCCGGGCCGGAGCUGUGCCAGACUCCGGCCACACAGAUGCAUGUUAAGUGCGCUGUGUGUGGUUGGCAGAAGUGUAAAAACCCAUCUGUGCUCUUGACAGGUGACUAGUUGUGGGUGUGUGUAAUCUCACCCAUCUCCUAACACGCCAGCGGUUUGAGUCACACAGGAGCACCCAUGACUCAGUCAUCAUCAGGUUGGACAGAGAGGUUAGGGGGGUGGACAGGGCCAGAGUUUUGGCUCCGACCAGAGCGGUAGAUAAAACAGUGGCGACACUCCCAUAGACCUCGAUAGGAAAAAAAUGGCAGUGCUAUUUCCUCGUUAUGGGACUUUUGGAACUAUUUACAGCCAAUCUCUUGGUCAGUGGUCAAUGAGUUAAUUAAUUACACCUUCCAGCAUCCAGAAGUACAUCCCACCCUCCUGCGAUUCAGCCAUUCAGCAGAGUUUUUUUUUUUGUGGAACUUUUGAUCGUGUGGCGGCAACAUCAGAGUGGCUCUCUUUCUGUGACUCUGGCUCCGACUGCUUCCUUCAGUCGCUGUUCUCCUCUCAACUUUAUAUUUGUCCAACUGUCCUCCUUUGCCUGCUGCUCCCUGGUGGUUUCGAUUGCCCCCCCAGAUCAGCUGUGUCAUUGUCUUCUGUCAUAUCGUGUCGUGCUCUCUAAAAUAUUUGCAUGAAGCUACUUGUGCACGGCCUACACAGGCUGUGGCUGUCAGUGACGAAAAGCCCUGGAAGCCGGGAGGUGUAUGCCAAGUGGCCUAACUGAAGUACCUAUUUAAAGGAUCAGGCAUGCAAGCCAUGCUCAGCUGUUGUAAUGCUCCAACAUCCUAUGAAUUAGGAAAAUGAAAAAAAAAAAAAACCUAGAAAGAAGCUCCACUCUCGGAUAAAAGCUUAGGCUUUGCACAUGUCAACAGAAUCAGAGCAUCCAUUAUUUGAAGAUAUGUAGAUGUUUCAUGAAGUGACAGUGCGGACAGUACAGAUAAAUGAAUGCAAUAUUAAAUGUAUGCUAACACUGUUUGAAUCCCUUCAAUUUUAUUUUUAAAGUAUUAACUUUUCCUUGAUUCUUCCAGGAUGUUGAAUCUAUUUGUGCUGAUAUCUGUUAUUGUUCUUUCCCCCCCCCAGGAGAAUGGAGAUGGAGUGGUCGUGUGUGAUUGUGUGUAUGCGUAUGCGUGAGGCACCCGUCAGUGCUGCGGUCUCGUUUGUUUGUCUGUUAGUUUGUUUGUGUAUGUGUGUGAGUAUGUGUCAGUAAGUGAGGUGUGCAUCCGUCAGUGCUGCCAUCUCAGAAUGAAGUGUGUGUGUGUGUGUGUGUGAGUGAGUGUGUGGCCUGCGGUGCUGUAGCAGCACAGAAUGGUUUGUGGGUUUUACGGGGGUGCAGGCCGUACUGUGCUGCGGCAGUAACGUCUGGAAUAAGGUGUGUGUGUGUCUGUAUGUGAGAUGGUGUGCUUGGGUGUGUGAGUUGUGUGCUCUUGAUUGUGUGUGUGUGUGUGUACGUGCAUAUGGACCUCUGGAAGAUGAACUUCUCUGUUUCAAGGCAUGUUUGUUUAAGGCUGACUUCAGUUCAGAGCAUGCAAAGCAGGUGAGUGUCUGACCCGGAAGUGUGAUUAUAAAGAGUGAGUGUCUGUGUAUGCGUGAGGGUGUCCUUUCGUUCUCUUGAAAAAUGAUUAAACAGACCUAUGUGUGUCCUUGUGUUGGUGUGUUGCUAUCUAGAGAGAGAGAGAGAGUGUGUGUGUGUCUGCGUGCGCGCUGGUUCUGGUGGUCCUGCUUUAGCAGCACGUAAAUAUUGGAGUUAAUCGUGUACUGAAUUCUCCAGUAUUGAUCGUGCUGCUGUAGUAAGGCUGGCUUCUCUCUUCAGACUUGCUCCUAACUAAAGACUCGGUGCCCGCAGCACUGUGAAAACCACCACCUACAAGGCUUCUGAGGUCCCCCAUAGUUCACACAACAGUAUACUACAUUCACUACAUAUGCAUUUGUCCAGAUAUUUAGCGCUGUUCAGGAAUUUACAUGAAUGAAAAUGAAUGUCUUGGAAAUUGUUUGGAUGUUAAUGUAAUGCAAGUUUGUUGCCAAGGUUUUGUAUUGUACCAAUUACAAAUAAAACUUGAACUUAUUUUA